ACCAAGAAUUCCACCUACCUCUCCCACACUCUAGAAUAGUAGUUUCAAAUGCAGUUCUAUGGUUAAGCCAUAGGAUUUCACACCUGACUGACUAUCCCGCCUACGCGCUCUUUACGCCCAGUGAUUCCGAGUAACGCUUGCACCCUCCGUAUUACCGCGGCUGCUGGCACGGAGUUAGCCGGUGCUUAUUCGUUAGAUACCGUCAUUAUCUUCUCUAACAAAAGGAGUUUACAAUCCUAAAACCUUCAUCCUCCACGCGGCGUUGCUGCUUCAGGGUUUCCCCCAUUGAGCAAUAUUCCCUACUGCUGCCUCCCGUAGGAGUCUGGACCGUGUCUCAGUUCCAGUGUGUCCGUUCACCCUCUCAGGCCGGAUACCCGUCAUAG
rnacentral:rRNA from 1 species